GUAGGGUGCAAGCGUUAUCCGGAUUUACUGGGCGUAAAGAGUAUCGUAGGCGGUUAGAAUAGUCAUUCAUUAAAGCCCGAGGCUUAACUUCGGAAAGGCGAGUGAUACUUUUUGACUAGAGUACAGUCGGGGAUGUUGGAAUGUCUGGUGGAGGGGUGAAAUCCGUUGAGAUCAGACAGAACACCGAGGGCGAAGGCAGACAUCUAGACUGCUACUGACGCUGAUGAACGAAAGCUAGGGGAGCAAAAGGGGGAUUAGAGACCCCUGUAGUCCUAUGCUGUAAACGAUCUCUGCUAGCUCUUUCUGAUUUAAUUGGGAGGGGCGUAAGCUAACGCGUUAAGUAGAGCGCCUGGGGAGUACGGCCGCAAGGCUA
rnacentral:rRNA from 1 species